rnacentral:rRNA from 1 species
AGAGUUUGAUCCUGGCUCAGAAUCAACGCUGGCGGCGUGCCUAACACAUGCAAGUCGAACGCGGUUACCCCGCAAGGGGUAACUGAGUGGCGAACGGGUGAGUAACACGUGGGUGACCUACCUUCGAGUGGGGGAUAACGUCCCGAAAGGGACGCUAAUACCGCAUAACAUCCUGUCCUUGAACGGAUGGAGAUCAAAGCCGGGGAUCGCAAGACCUGGCGUUUGAAGAGGGGCCCGCGUCUGAUUAGCUAGUUGGUGGGGUAACGGCUCACCAAGGCGACGAUCAGUAUCCGGCCUGAGAGGGCGGACGGACACACUGGGACUGAGACACGGCCCAGACUCCUACGGGAGGCAGCAGUGGGGAAUUGUUCGCAAUGGGCGCAAGCCUGACGACGCAACGCCGCGUGGAGGAUGAAGGUCUUCGGAUUGUAAACUCCUGUUGCUCGGGACGAAAAGCUUCAACCUAAUACGUUGAAGUCUGACGGUACCGAGUGAGGAAGCCCCGGCUAACUCUGUGCCAGCAGCCGCGGUAAUACAGAGGGGGCAAGCGUUGUUCGGAAUUACUGGGCGUAAAGGGCGCGUAGGUGGCCUGUUAAGUCGAACGUGAAAUCCCUGGGCUCAACCCAGGAACUGCGUCCGAGACUGAUAGGCUCGAAUCCGGGAGAGGGAUGUGGAAUUCCAGGUGUAGCGGUGAAAUGCGUAGAUAUCUGGAGGAACACCGGUGGCGAAGGCGACAUCCUGGACCGGUAUUGACGCUGAGGCGCGAAAGCCAGGGGAGCAAACGGGAUUAGAUACCCUGGUAGUCC